rnacentral:rRNA from 1 species
UCAGUCGACUCCUACGGGGAGGCAGCAGUGGGGAAUAUUGCACAAUGGGGGAAACCCUGAUGCAGCCAUGCCGCGUGUGUGAAGAAGGCCUUCGGGUUGUAAAGCACUUUCAGUAGGGAGGAAGGUAGUGUAGUUAACACCUGUACUAUUUGACGUUACCUACAGAAGAAGCACCGGCUAACUCCGUGCCAGCAGCCGCGGUAAUACGGAGGGUGCGAGCGUUAAUCGGAAUUACUGGGCGUAAAGCGCAUGCAGGCGGCCUGUUAAGUCAGAUGUGAAAGCCCGGGGCUUAACCUCGGAAUUGCAUUUGAAACUGGCAGGCUAGAGUCUUGUAGAGGGGGGUAGGAAUUUCAGGUGUAGCGGUGAAAUGCGUAGAGAUCUGAAGGAAUACCAGUGGCGAAGGCGGCCCCCUGGACAAAGACUGACGCUCAGAUGCGAAAGCGUGGGGAGCAAACAGGAUUAGAUACCCUGGUAG